ACAGAUUUGAUCUCCAGGACUUGAGCACAGUCUCCUCUGAAGUUGAAGUAGGCACGACUUGUCUGCUUUUAUCUGCCAUGUUCAAAAUCUGUCAUUGAAGUACUAAAUUCACUGCCCGCAGAACACGCUGAGAUUUUACAUGUGUAUGUAGACCCAAGCUGGGUUCUGGAUCUUUGCUUCUAAAAUGGACAUGUCUGGUCAAUGCAUUAGUUAUGCCUGGAAUUCCCCUUGACAUUGAAAGGUGGUCAUGUCACCUCAUCUUUCAGUCUCAGUUUUUGUUUUUGUUUUUUUUUUUAGUUUUAAAAUGUCCACUUUAUUCCAUAUAACACUUAACCAGAUAUCAUUUACAUCUGAGGAAGAGAUGGCCCAUGAGACUGAUCUAUAGUAAAACACUCUAAGAAAUGCAGUCCAAUUUUAUACAUUUCCAGGCAUCCCUAGACAAGUGUGUCACAAUGCACAAUGCGGAAAUAUACGUAUCACUACUACAUUUUACAUAAAAGGGAAGUAUCAAUAAACUUUAGAAAGUAGUAAAUUCACCUGUCCCUUAAAAUAUGGGUAUGCAAUUGUUACAAAGCCAUAGUAAAUGGUUUAUAAAAUGUACUUUUAUUUUAUGUUACUCUGCUGUUACAUAGGGCAUAACAUUUUCACAAGGCUUUUUUGGGACUACAGUCAAUGAUUAGCAACACACAGUAGUGGUCCAACUCUCUAAAUAACAAUCACUAGACAAACUGGACACCCUCUCACAUGUGCACAAAUCUGCAUGGAAAAGUACUAAAGUUUUAGACUUGGACUUGCCACCUUCUUUUUUUUUUUUUCUUUUUUUUU
rnacentral:lncRNA from 1 species